rnacentral:rRNA from 1 species
CAGUCGCCGCGGUAAUGCAGAGGAUGCAAGCGUUAUCCGGAAUGAUUGGGCGUAAAGCGUCUGUAGGUGGCUUUUCAAGUCCGCCGUCAAAUCCCCGGGCUCAACCUGGGAAUGGCGCUUGUGACUGCAAAGCUAGAGUGCGGCAGAGGGGGAUGGAAUUCCGCGUGUAGCAGUGAAAUGCGUAGAUAUGCGGAGGAACACCGAUGGCGAAGGCAAUCCCCUGGGCCUGCACUGACGCUCAUGCACGAAAGCGUGGGGAGCAAACAGGAUUAGAGACCCCCGUAGUCCCUGUCUCUUAUAC